UGGGGAAUAUUGCACAAUGGGGGAAACCCUGAUGCAGCGACGCCGCGUGAACGAAGAAGGUAUUCGUAUCGUAAAGUUCUGUCCUAUGGGAAGAUAAUGACAGUACCAUAGAAGAAAGCUCCGGCUAAAUACGUGCCAGCAGCCGCGGUAAUACGUAUGGAGCGAGCGUUGUCCGGAAUUAUUGGGCGUAAAGGGUACGCAGGCGGUUUAAUAAGUCGAAUGUUAAAGAUCGGGGCUCAACCCCGCAAAGCAUUGGAAACUGAUAAACUUGAGUAGUGGAGAGGAGAGUGGAAUUCCUAGUGUAGUGGUGAAAUACGUAGAUAUUAGGAGGAAUACCAGUAGCGAAGGCGACGUUCUGGACACAAACUGACGCUGAGGUACGAAAGCGUGGGGAGCAAACAGG
rnacentral:rRNA from 1 species